rnacentral:lncRNA from 12 species
ACCGUGCCAUAUCCACUCUGUGCCGAAUCCUGGCCUUGCCGUAUCCCAUCCGUGCUGCAUCCUGACCGUGCCAUAUCCACUCUGUGCCGAAUCCUGGCCUUGCCGUAUCCCAUCCGUGCUGCAUCCUGACCGUGCCAUAUCCACUCUGUGCCGAAUCCUGGCCUUGCCGUAUCCCAUCCGUGCUGCAUCCUGACCGUGCCAUAUCCACUCUGUGCUGAAUCCUGGCCUUGCCGUAUCUGUGCCGAAUCCUGGCCUUGCCGUAUCCCAUCCGUGCUGCAUCCUGACCGUGCCAUAUCCACUCUGUGCCGAAUCCUGGCCUUGCCGUAUCCCAUCCGUGCUGCAUCCUGACCGUGCCAUAUCCACUCUGUGCCGAAUCCUGGCCUUGCUGUAGCCCAUCCGUGCUGCAUCCUGACCGUGCCAUAUCCACUCUGUGCCGAAUCCUGGCCUUGCCGUAUCCCAGGCCUUGCCCUAUCCCAGCUUUGCCAUAUCCCAGCCGUGCAGUAAUUCAGGUUGUGCCACAUCCUGCCCGUGCUGUAUCCCAGUGCUCUGCACAUCCUCCUCAGCCUGUCCUGUGCCGUGGUGGUGUCACUGGAUGGCAGAUCCGUGUCUCAGCCCGUGAUUCCCACUGGCGAUGCUGCUGUGUGUCCAGCCUUCAUCCAUCCACUUGUUUCUGGCUCUUGGUGUCCUGGGGCAGUGCCAGGUGUUGCUGCACGGGUGCUGCUGCACAGGUGCUGCUGCACAGGUGAUCACACAGCCCCCCAGCCUGACCCCGACGGUCGCAGCCCCUUCCUCCUAAUCCCCCGAGCAGCGGGAGAGGGAGUUGUGCCAUGGAAAUAAACCCAUGAAAGCGCAGCACACGCAGGGCUGCGUUCAUUGUGUCCAUCCUCAGGUCUGGAGCCCUCGGCCAAUCUCCCAGCGAUGGGGCGGACUUGAGGCUCCUCGGCCGUGUGCUUUACACGUCCCAGCUCCACGCCAGCUUCGCUGCCCAGGUCUCCUUCCAGCCGGCGUUGCUCACACCGGAGCUGCUCCGGGAGCCGAGGCUGUUCCGUGGGGGCUGCGGGUGCAGGUUUGGGGUGGUCUGGGGGUGCAGGUCUGGGCUCCGUGGGUGCCGCCAGGGGUCCAUGGAUGCAAUCCGGGUUCUGUGGAGUCCGUGAGUGCCGGUGUGGGGUCCGUGAGUGCCGGUGUGGGGUCUUUAGGUGCCGGUCAGGAGUCCGUGGGUGCCGGUCUGGGGUCCGUGGGUGCUGGUCAGGGGUCCGUGGGUGCCGGUCUGGGGUCCGUGGGUGCCGGUCAGGGGUCCGUAGGUGCCGGUCUGGGGUCGGUGAGUGCCGGUCUGGGGUCGGUGAGUGCCGGUCUGGGGUCUGUAGGUGCCGGUCUGGAGUCUGUAGGUGCCGGUCUGGGGUCUGUAGGUGCCGGUCUGGUGUCUGUAGGUGCCGGUCUGGGGUCUGUAAGGAUGCAAUCCGGGUUCUGUGGAGUCCGUGAGUGCCGGUGUGGGGUCCGUGAGUGCCGGUGUGGGGUCCGUGAGUGCCGGUGUGGGAUUCGUGAGUGCCGGUCAGGGGUCCAAAGGUGCCGGUCAGGGGUCUGUAGGUUCUGGUCAGGGAUCCCUAGGUGCCGGUUUGGGGUCCGUGGGUGCCGCUCAGAGGUCGGUGAGUGCCGGUCUGAGGUCUUUAGGUGCCGGUCAGGCCCCCCCCCCCCCCCCCCCCCCCCCCCCCCCCCCCCCCCCCCCCCCCCCCCCCCCCCCCCCCCCCCCCC